CUUGGCAAGGGAGAUAUCUUUGUUUUUGAAACUUAAUGAAAUUUCUUAUGUGAAUUUAUCCCAUGCAUGUUUAACGAUCUGCAACAAGUAAUUUCAUUAGAAAUAUAAGAAGGAACGGUAAAAAAACAAAACAAAGAAACGAAUGGCCAUAAUAGCAAACAUGUCUGUGAGAAGAAUGAACAUGCCUGCUUUUUCCAAAUUGUUGUCUCAGCACAACCUUUUCCAUUAUGACUUCAGUCUUCAAGUGUGCACUGUAAAAAUAAACAUGGAUAAAAAACUAGGUCUUUUAAUAGAAUUUGUUCUCUUAUCUAAGGGAAUGAAUAGAACUAAAAAGUAACAAUGAGAAAAAUACCUGCAGUUGUGAUAAAUAUUCUCCAGAUUCAAACUCAAAAGUUAAUUCUACACACUACAAUAUUUGCAUUACAAAGUGCAAAACUAGUACUUUUUCAAAAUGAUAUUCAAUAUUUUUUUGUGAAAUCCAAUUUCCUCAAUAAAAACAACCAAGCAUAUAUGGAAGUCAUAAGUUACACUUAAAUUGAUCACAUAUAGCAUAACCAAUUACAUAUCGAUGCAUUAAGAUCAAGCAAGUUAUAAUUUUAAUAGUGUUAUACAUCUUUAUUCCAUUGGGAAAUUUCAUAAGUAAAUCGACAAAUAUUACGCAAAAUAUGUCAUCACCAGCAUAAAUUUUGUAUACUUUUUCUUGAUCCUCAUCUGUCCAGCUACUCUGAUUGAUCAACUAUAUAAUAAAAACAAAAUAAAAUCAGUCUAUAAUAAAAUAAAUCUAUAAUAAGAUAAAAUAAAAUUAGCAUAUUUUAAAUAAACAUACAUUAAAAAUUUCAGGAUGAGCAUCCAUAUUUCUAAUAAAUGCUAUCAAGUCUCUAUAAUUGUCUUGAUAAGAACGGUUACGUCGAAAGCUAUUAACUUUUCUAAAUAAUUCAUGAUUGACAUUGCUAAUUCAUGUUUUCUUUAUAUCAUGGAAACAGUCAGAUAUAUACCUAACUCUGUAAAAAUAAAAAUAAAAGAAUUGAUAUUAGUUUAAAAGUUCAACAAAUAUAUUAUAUUCUAUUAUUAAUUUAAAAUACCUAUAUUCAUGACCAUAUAUCUUAAAAUGUUCAUUCAACUUUUUCAAAGUCUUCACUUUUUUUGUAUGUGACCACAAUGUUGGAUGAUUUGAAAGAACAUGGAAUAUUCUACAAUUAAAAAUAAAUAUUAUAUGAAUAUUUCAUUUUUAAUAUAUAAUAUAAAUUAAAAAUAAAUAACUUACGAGUUACAUUUUUUUAUGCUUCCAAAGAAAUGUGUAAAAGAACUUCCAUAUUCUUGUAAUGACAACCGUCGAUGAGCAUACAAAUCAGAGAAAAAUUCAUCUAACAUUGGUAUAAAUUCGUCUAACAUUGGUAUCAUUUGAGAUAAAUUCUAAUUUUAAAAAUCAAACUAUCAAGAUCAAACUAUAAUAAAAUUAUAAAAUAAAAAAUAUACCUUUAAAUUUUAAAUCCAUAUUUCUAAUAAACGUUAUCAAGUUUUUAUAAUUGUCCUGAUAAGAACGGUUACGUGGAAAGCUAUUAACUUCUCUAAAUAAUUCACAAUUGACAUUGCCGAUCCAUGUUUUCUUUAUAGCACGGAAAUAGUCAGAUAUAUACCUAACUCUGUAAAAAUCAUAGUCAGAUAUAUACCUAGGCGUCGCAUAGGCGGUCAUGCGCUCCAGGUCGGAUCCGCCUAACUCAAUAACCCAUUUAAAUGACUUAAGUCAUUUAAAUAAGAGGGUGAGGGUUUAAAAAACCUUAACUCCUCUCUUAUUUCUUCUUUCUUCCUCUUUUCUUCCCUUCCCUCCUACAUUUGAACCCCAAACCCUAGAUUUUCAGAUCAUUUCCCCCAUUCAUUUUCUCCGGCCAUCUUCUAGGGAGACUUCGGCCACCACAAGGGAACACUCCGGCGACCUCCACACGUGCUCCGGCGAAGUCCAGGCAUGCUCCGGCGACCCUCCGGCCAUCGUCGACCUAGGUAUUUUUUGUCCCAAAUUUUUUUCCUAUGUGCCCUCUAUCUGUCCAAACCUAUAUCUCACUCCGGACAGUCAUAAAUCGCACUCCGGCACUCUUAAAGAACACUCCGGCGAUCACUUAAAAAAACACUCCGGACAGCAAUUAAUUUACCUCUGUCCAGCCACAUUAAAAUCACUCCGGGCAGCAAUUUAAUCACUCCGGACAGCAAUUUUACAUUAGAUUUUUGAAGGUAAAAACCUAAUAUUUAAAUUGUAAAUUUAUUUUACAAUUUACAUACCUAAAAUCUAACUUAGAUUGUUGGAUUGUAUUUAUUUUUAAAAUUUUCAGAAAUGUCGGAUGAUGAAGAAUACGUUCCUCCCUCAAACGAAGAACAAAUAGAGGAAAACAAAGUGAAGUGGCACUCUUCUUUUUCCGAAGAGACGAUUAAUAACAAGGCGAAUCGACCGAAAUCCGAUGAUACCGGAUGGAAAUACGGUUUCAUGGAAGAUCGAACAAAUCAAAACAAUGUUCGAUGUCUUCUAUGUAACUUUCUUUCCAAGGGUGGAAUAGGUCGGUUGAAGGGUCAUCUGACGGGAGGAGACAAGAACUGUAUCAAAUGUCCAAAUGCCUCGAGAUUUGUCUCAAAGGAGAUUGCGGACUAUGUCUCCAAGAAGAAAUUAGCGGCUAGCAAACGCAAGGACAAGCUACCAUUUAUUCCAGAGGUUGAUGCCAUCGAUUUAGAUGACCCUAGCAAUGAGCGAACAUUGAAGAGGAAGUUGACGGUCUCCGGUUUCGUUUCAUCGUCUCCAACCUCCUCCGUACUUGGUCCAUUAAAUUUGAAGAAAGGGAAAACUAUUCAUGAUAUCGUCCGGAAAAGGAAGAUCGAGAAACAGAAAUCCAUCGUCGAAAUUGCCAAAAAAGAAGACAAAAAAAUGGUCGAUCAUAUCUUCUCAGGUUGGAUGUACGCAGUAGCUAUGCCAUUCAACCAAGCUCAACAUAUUGAAUGCUUAACGACUUGUGAAGUCAUUGGACGAUAUGGUCCUGCAUACCGGCCUCCAAAUAUGACUCAGUUGCGAGAGUCUUGUCUAGAAAGACUUGUGGGUGAUAUCGAUGCGAUGAGAGCCAGGCACGAGAUAAAGUGGAAAACCAAUGGUUGUACUUUAUUGUCUGAUGGAUGGACAGAUGCCAGAGGAAGAAACCUAAUGAACUUCUUGGUGAAUUCGACCGAAGGAUCGUUCUAUCUUUAUUCCAUAGACACCACUCAUGAAAGAAAUACAGCUUCUUACAUUGCCAAGGCAUUAGAUAAAGCUAUGCAAGUCAUCGGCCCGAGUAGUGUGGUUCAGAUAUGUACAGAUAAUGCGGCGAACUAUGUUAGUGCCGGUGAAAUAUUGAUGAACAAGUACGACCAUUUAUUCUGGACACCGUGCGUAGCUCAUUGCUUGGAUCUGAUUUUGGAGGACAUUGGGAAACUGCCAAAGUACAAGAAGAUGAUUUCUGAUGGUCGCAAGAUAGCGACCUACAUCUAUGCCCAUGGUGUUCUCCAUAGCAUUUUCUUGACCAUAUCAGGUGGGAAAGAGUUGGUGAGAUGCGGAGUCACAAGAUUCGCAACGUCUUUUCUCACAUUACAAAGUUUGAAAGAACAGAGGGAAAAUUUGAAGAAGAUUGAUUGGCUACCAUGGGCUAAUGUGACUUGUGGAAGUGAAGUGCAAAAAUUAGUCUGGACCAACUCUUUCUGGUUGAGCCUAUACGAGUGUUUGGCCGUUUCUGAACCUCUAGUGAGGUUGCUGAGAUUAGUUGACCAAGAUGACAAACCAUGCAUGGGCAGAGUUCUGAAUGACUUGAAGAUGGCAAGGAAGCACACUAGAGAUAUGUUGAAAGACAAGAAUCUGUCAUUGCUAACCCAAAUUGACAAGAUCUUCGAUAAGAGUAGGUUUGCUGAAAUGCUUCUCCCAACGCUUAACCCGGAUUUCGGUCGAUUCGACAAGAUCCGACCCGGAUCCGCCUAACCCGCUCCAGCGCAUGAAGGCAAAUGCCUACAUGCGUUGGAGCGCAUGACCGCCUAGGCGUCGCAUGAAAAACUAUGGUCAUGACCAUCGACCACCGCAUGAACACAUGAAAAAGCUUGGUAAAAAUCAAGGUUUAAAAACCGACGGUUAACCGGCUGACCGGUAAAAAAUUAAAAACCGGUGGCCGGUUAAUUGGGACGGGUAAAUGGGUUGAUGGGUCGGGUCUUACCCGAACCCAACCCGAAUACCCAACCCGGUUUCAAUAAAAUAAUAUUUAUUUAAUCUGUUUUAAUUUGUUUUUUUUAAAGACUUCAUUUAAUAAAGCCCAUUACGUUUUAUUAAUAAGUUAUUUUAAGGCCUCAUUUAAAGGCCUUAUUUUAAUAAGUUUAAAUUUUAUAAGCCUCUCCUUAUAAGUUAUUAGACCUCAUUUGAAUUACUAUUUUGAAUGACUAUUUUGAAUUACUAUAUUGUUUAUGAUAUUUUUAUUUAUAUAAACAGGGAUAUAAACAUGGAUAUAAACAUGGAAUAGAUAUAUAAGUAUAUAACAGAAUUUCUGUUUUAAAAAAAAAAUUACGAAAAUACCCCUAUCGGUUAACCAGUGGUCUAACCGGUAAGCCAGAACCGAUUACCGGUUAAACGGUUUUUAAACCUUGGUAAAAAUAAAGAUAAAAGAAUUGAUAUUAGUUUAAAAGUUCAACAAAUAUAUUAUAUUCUAUUAUUAAUUUAAAAUACCUAUAUUCAUGACCAUAUAUCUUAAAAUGUUCAUUCAACCUUUUCAAAGUCUUCACAUUUUUGUAUGUGACCACAAUGUUCAAAACAUUGAAUAUUCUGCAAUUAAAAAUAAAUAUUAUAUGAAUAUUUCAUUUUUAAUAUAUAAUAUAAACUAAAAAUAAAUGACUUACGAGUUAAAUUUAUUUAAGCUUCCAAAGAAAUGUGUAAAAGAGCUUCCAUAUUCUUGUAAUGACAACCGUCGAUGAGCACACAAAUCAGAGAAAAAUUCAUCUAAUAUUGGUAUAAAAUCAUCUGUAUCAUUUGAGAUAAAUUCUAAUUUUAAAAAUCAAACUAUCAAAAUCAAACUAUAAUGAAACUAUAAAAUAAAAAAUAUACCUUUAAAUUUUAAAUUCAUUGUUGACGAUAACGUUGUAAUAUAAAAAGUCCCUUUUUGACGAAAAUAGAAUUUGUUGUAAGCUUAAUCGGGAACAUUUCAUUACUUUCAGAGCGAGAUAAUCCAUUGAAAAUAUUUCUAUAUAAAAAAAAUCGAUUAAAAAAAAUUAACGUUAUAUAAAAUUAUGUAAUAAAAUACCUUAAUAUUUCACUCAAUGCGUUAUAAUAUGCAUCUUUUACUUCUUUCAGCUCUUCUAUAUAUCUGUAUAGGGUUAUUGUUUUUGGAUAUAUAACAUAAGUAAUACAUUUAUGCACGAAUGUAUCAAAUACUAAUAGACAGUUUUUCAUAUAAAAAAAUUGUUCAGAAGUAGAUAUUUUUAUACCAUCGAUAUUUUUUAAUAUAUAUCACUGAAAUACUCCGACUUCCGCAUUUUCAGUUAUAAGAAGAGUUGAAUAAACAUAAGCUGAAGCUGUUUGACAUAAAUACAUGGCAUUAACCUAAAUAUAGAUUUAAAUAUGGAAAUAAUAAUAAAUAUAUAAAAUAACUAAAAAAAUCUAUUUUUUUAUUUUUUUUGAGAAAUUAAAACUUUCAUUACUGAAAAGAGGUUGAGUAUGGCCCAAGAUUACAGAAUAAUAUAGGGCAAUGCAAGUACAGUAAAUGUAAAAAUAUUGUCCAUCUCUUAUGCAGCUAUGACCUUGACUAACUGGCCAAGGAUUGAAGCUUCAAGAGGUUGGACUCCCAUGAGCGUAUAGCUUGUAUUUCAAUCUGUGAAAGAUUGUGCUUUUUAUAAGAUGUAGAAUCAUAUGUAAUGCUCGCAUCCUUUAUAAUUUCUCUGCUGACAAUUUCUGGAGGCCUUAGGGUGUGUUGUUUUAAUCUUCUAUUCCUUUCACACCAUAUGUGUCAGGAAAGAGAUGCUAGCAUAGUCCAGUGUACCCCCGAACAACUGGACUUGUGGGUGAAUUUUUGUAUUGUUUUCAUAAUAUCCCCUAUCCUAAUAUCUAUUGUGGGAGGUGGGGAAUUUUACCCAUUAAGUGUCCAAACAACAUUGUUAAACCAGCUAGUGGUCUCUAGUGUAAUGGCAGUUAAAGUAUAGGUGUUGUAAUGUUUCUUCCUCAUUUCCACAUAGUGGGCAGGACGUAUUUAUGUUGAGUCCCCACCUUUGCAGUCUAGUUAAAGUGUUCAAACUCUUGACCUUAAUUCUCCACAACAGCAUAAAAAAAUUUGGAGGCUUUUUGGCCCAGGUCCCUAGAUUUAUCUCUUGUAAGAUGCCUUUGGGCCUUAAUGUUUCUGAGUGCAUGGAGGAGGCAAUUUGUGUGACCCUAUAGUUACUCAAGCAGUUUAUACAUUUCCUUAUUGUUUCCUUAUUAGCUAGUAUAGUUUUCCACAUGUGUGAGUCCAGAGUAGGCCUACACUCUAUGUCCCCAAUGCUUCUUCCUUUGAUGUACCUAAUUUUUACCCAGUCUGCUAGUAUGGAGUUAUUAGGACUCCACAUCCUCUCUGUUUUUUUAACCAAAGCUGCAGCAUUAGUUGCAAAGAAAUCCCUGGCCCCUAUUCCGCCUUCGAUCUUUGGGAGUGCCAUUUUUGCCCAACUACUCCCUCUUCUCUCGUCCCAAAUGAAAUUGUAAGCUAGGCUCUGGAUCUUUUUAAUGACUGUACAUGGCAGUGUGGUUCCGUUUACCCAGUAUUGAAACUUACCUUGUAGGACCCAAUUUACUAAUUGGGUUCUGCCUGCGUAAGACAGACAUCUCCCUUUCCAUCUAGCUAACAUUUUUUCUAUUGGAUUUAUUAACUUCCAACAUGUCGCGUGAGAUUUCUUUCUUCCUGUUAUUGGAAGACCAAGAUAGUUGAUAGGGAAGGGUUUAGUUGGAAAGUUGAGAAUGUUAUGCAGAUAAUGAUCAUUCAUGCAUACUUUUGAGUAGGUUGCCGAGCUCUUCUCCUGAUUAAUCUCGAGGCCUGAGAAUUUGGAAAAAGUCUCUAGGAUUUUCUUGAUUGUUUCUAAAGACUUGGGAUUUGCUUUUGAGAAGAUCAACACAUUAUCCGCGUACAUGAGAUGCGAGAUGGAAACCACUCCAUUCACGAUAUAAGUAUCCAUCCUUUUAUCUUUGAUCUCUCUCUAUUAGUCUACUAAGAUUAUCCAUUAUCAGGUCGAAUAAGAUAAGAGACAAUGGAUCCCCCUGCCUGAUUCCUCUAAAGUUAGUGAAGGGGGGAGUGGGAGAUCCCUCCACCAGUACCGAAAAGGAGGCUGUGGAUAUACAGUUAUGUACCAAUUUGCACAACAGAGGGUUGAAUCCCAUUGUGUCAAGGGUGUGUGUGAUUGCUUGCCAUUUCACUGUAUCGAAUGCCUUUUUGAGAUCUAUACUUAAACAACAUCUUUUGGGGGUUCUAAUUCUCCCAAAGCCAUGUACCAUCUCGUCUGCCAAGAUAAUGUUAUCUGAGAUGCUUCUUCCUGCUAUGAAAGUUGUUUGGUGAUGAGAUAUUAACUCGGAAGAGACCUUGGAGAUCCUACCAGCCAAGAUUUUGGUGAGAAGUUUAUAAAUUAAGUUGACACAGGAGAUUGGCCUAAAAUCCGAUAAUUCGGUAGUUGUGGGUUUUUUUGGGAUAAGAGUGAUAAAUGUGUGAUUAAUUGACUUCAAUAUGGGUUUGCCGCUGAAGAACUGUCUGACACAAGCUAGGAUUGUUUGCUUUAGUUCCGGCCAGAGAGCUUUGAAGAAACCCACUGUGAAACCAUCAGGUCCUGGGGAUUUCCCCAUUUGAAAUGCGAACAAGGUGGAUUUGACUUCCUCUUCUGUGGGUUGUUGAGUCAACCAUAUGUUCAUAUCUUGAGAUACAAUCCUAGGGAAAAUAACGGGAGAUGGUAUAUCUGGGAAGGGAGAACUCUUGUAGAUAUCCUUAAAGUAAUCCAUACUCCUUUUUUCUAAUUGGGCUCUUGAGAUAACUACCCUACCCUUUCCAUUUAUUAAUUUUAGAGUUGAGUUCUUUGCCUUCCUUAUCUUUGUAGCAAGACUAAAGAACUUAGUGUUUGAGUCUCCUAAUCUAAGCCAGCUGACCUUGCUCCUUUGUUUUUGGUUAGCCUCCUUUAUUUUGAGUUUAUUGACUAACUCCUCCGGCUUCUUUUUGACCUCUUCUUGGAUAGAAGGAACUAUUGGGCUAGUGUUUAGUUGCUUCACCAAGGAAUCAAGUUCCUCCUUAGUGGUUGUGAUCUGUUUUGCAUCACUACCCUUGGUCGCCGUCCAUUCCUUUGCGAGUAUUUUGACCUCCUUUAAUUUCUGUUGUAGGCAAUAUAGCCCAUUGCCGCAAAUUGGUUUAGCUAGUCCUCUCCUGGCUAGAUCGAGAAACUCUUGCUCCUUCAACCAUGAAUCGAACAAUCUGAAAGGCUUUGGUUUCUGUGCUAUUUGCGCAAUUGAGAUAAGCAUUGCAGCAUGGUCGUUAUGCGAGCCAUUCCAAAACUCUACCCUUAUCUCUGGAAAGAGUGAAAUCUAAUCUUGAUUCGAGAAUGCUCUAUCCAGUCUAGAUUGUACAAACCUAUCCCCUGCCUGCUUAUUAUUCCAUGUAAAUUCCCCCUAUUGAGGGGACCUCGAUUAACUCUGCUAGGUCGGUAGCUUCAAUGAAUUCAGAAGGCUCUCCAUGAACAUAAACCCCAGCCCCUGGUCCUCUCCUUUCCUCUGGAGUUCUUAUUUCAUUGAAAUCACCCAGCACUAACCUCUGGAGUUCUCCUUUCCUCUGGAGAUGAUAUUAGGUUGGAUGUUCUUAACUGUGUUCCACAACGGUCUCCUAGCUUCCCUUGUGUUGUUUGCAUAUACUACGUAGAUAAAAAACACCAAUCCACCCUCGUUGUAUACCUUAGCAUGAAGUAUUUGCCUAUCCAACAAGAUUGGAACCACCUUCCAAUGGUCUUUUUUCCAUAAAAUCAAGAUUGAGUCUGAAUAUUCUUGGUCAUGUGGGAUGUUGUUUGAAAUUACCUCCCACUCCUCCGAAAAAUUGUCUCUUACUGUUUGGAAUUGUUUGGUUUUAACUCUAGUCUCUAAUAGCGCUACUAUGUCUAAGUUCUUUUUAAGCAUCACAUUUUUUACUUCAUUCUGGAUUAGAGGGGAGUUAACCCUCUAACAUUCCAGGUCAUUAGCGCCAUUGUUUGGGACUAAUGACCUAGCGGUGAUGGGAUGGCUUAGUCUAGUUAAUUGCCUGGGUGGCCUUUGCCACCUCUGCAAUUGAGGAAGAUUUUUUGCUCGAUGAAGCAUUCGAAGAGGUGGGUUAGACACUAAGACAUUACAUUACAACACCUAAGGCAUUACAAUCAUGUUUAUAUUUCUUUGAUGGACAAGAUCCUAUCAAAGAAACCCCCGUUUGUUGAUAUCAAACGUCUACCAAAGUAUCCCAUCAAGAGGAAGCCUUCUUUGAGCAAUGUUGGUUCGUCAUCUUCUAGAACCAAAAAAAUCAUAUCGUACGGGAAAAUUAAAGUUGAGUCUUUUAGGUUUUGAAGAGGGUCAAACAUUUGAAGAUAGAGUGAGGUCAAGAAAGACCGAGGAAAAUCGAUAAAGGAUCGUUGCUGAACAUUAUAAAGUUCAAGAUAAAACAAAAUUGUCGUUGAUUGCGGUGCCAAGUUUUUCAUCACUAGUGGUGUUGCGUUCAAUUUAACCAGAAACAUGGAAUUGCAGGAAAUUUAUCAAUCUUUUAGACAAUCUGAAUUUUUGACUACAUUAAAUGACAUUAAGGUUUUAGCAAAAGUUAUUAGACGUUACGGUCUGAGCUACAUUAUACCCUCGCCUUAUUUUCGGAUCUCUUUUGGAGAAAAAAGUUCAGAAUAUUUACAACCUACGGAAGAAACAUGAGGUUCAAUUUGCUAAAUAUGGAUGCAUAUUGAUGAGAGACGAAGAUUGGAGAGUUUAUUGCUAAGGGUCUGUCUAAGGUGAUUGAGACAAUCAGUAAGAAUAAUGUAGUUUAACUGUGCACCGACAAUGCAUCAAAUUAAGUUAGUGCCAAACUCUCUGUGCCGCAUACGUACUGGAUCUCGUACUUGAAGAUAUUGGAAAGUAAAAUUCAUUUCAAUUCUAAAUGAGAUCAAUAUAUUGAACCUAAAGAAGGGGUGCAUCAUGCAGCAGAUUAUAGUACUCAUCUCAUUGCUAAUGAUGAGUUUAAUGAAGAGUGAGAAGGAUCCACUGAUCUGGCUCUUAAAUGGCUUGACCCGAGUCAGGUCAUUCCCACCUCUCAUUAAGAGGAUAUGACCAAAUUGAAUGGUAGGCUUUGAACACGGUAAGUUUACUGUGUUCAACACAGUAAGAUUGGCUCACUGGUCUCAGUAACUAUUGAGCUUGCUGAGCUUCAAGGAUCGAAUCUCACUGUGUACAUUUCCAUCUAGAUUUGCCCGAUGAUAUAUUAUGCGACUCUGGUAUAUCAUCCGGAGGUUUGACAGCUCUACAUCUGUAGAGAGGUACCCUCCGUUAUCAAAAAAAGAAAGAAUAGUAGACUUUGAUGAAGUUCGAUCUAUAUCUAUAUUCAAAAUCAUCUGAUUACAAGGUUUAGGUUGCAUCAUAGCGCAUAGCGUCGACAACCAACGCUAUGGGGAGAUAGCGUGCUAUAGCCCCAAGUGUAAUUUAAAAAAAAAAUUCAGAUAAAUUUUAGUGACCAAAAUAAAAAGUAAAGUCAGACCUUGUUUAAAAAAAAAUUAAAAAUCAAGAUGAGCAUCUGAGCCUAUUUAAAAAUUCAGAUCCUUUUUUUUAAUCAGAUUUGAACAUGAUUUUAAAAAUUAGAAUUAUGAUUCUAAGAAAAUAAAAAUAAAAAAUAAAGAUCAGAAUUCAAUUUUUUUAAAUAAUAAAUUAAUUAAACGGACCAGCGACGAUCACCGGUUUAAAAUGACCAACAGCGUUCAAUUGACCUCGCCGAAUUAGAAUUGCCCAAUGAGGGUUGCUAAGAUGCCACUUAUCAAUGUAGUUCCUUGUUAUUUGUUCCAGUUCUCUGUAGUUCUUGAACUCCUUGUUAUUUGCUUUGAAAUUUGCUAUCCUCCAUCCUCUGUUUGAGUGGUGGAUGUUCUUUGCUGCUACUUGUGGGUGUUUAAAUUUUUUCUAAAAAUGUUGUUGCUUCUACACUAAAAUCCUUGUUGCACUAAUUCCCUUUGUUUGUUGAGAUCCACAUUUUAGCAGAAGUGCCUCCAGACUGUUCCUUCAUUCCUAUUCUCCUUUUCCGACCACCUUCUAGAUAUUUUUAAGGAAUAUUAUUGCCAACUUAACUCUCCAGAAGUCCACUCCUUGUCCAGGUCAUUAUCCACAUUCUCAGAUAUCAACCUAGUGUCCAGUUGGAAUGCCUAUCUUUCUCGUCUUUAAACUAGCCUAUAGCAAGUUUCUCUUCUUUUUCCUCUUGUUUCUCGUAUUUUUCACCAGGAAAACCUUCCUAUUGCAGAAUAACUCCACUUGUAGGAUUACUAAGGGUGUGUAGUUGUCUAAGAAAGAGAGAAUAUACCUCCGAAGAACUUGGUUGGAGUUAACUAUCCUUGGUGGACUCCGACGAGAGAUACCACUUUGGAGGUGACCUUGGGUGGGGCUGGUGGUGUAACAUGAGAUUAUCUAUAAUCGGACAUUUCUGUCGUGUAGUGUGACUGCCCAGUAUUCUUCUUCUUAUUGCACUAUUCUAUUUUUUCUAUUUAUCUGAAUAUAAUUCUUUAAUCAAACAAAUAAGUAUGACUAUUUACUAGUCACUGUUAAUAAAAAUAAUGAUAUUUAACGGAUUUCUUGCUCUACAUUCGAAGAUUAACUACCACACACAUCCGGUUAGACUUCCCUUGUUGGAAUCCACUAAAACCGAGCUGGGGUUAGCAUCUGCAAUUGAGGAGACACAAUUGCAGAGAGAUAUGGCACUGCUAACAACUCAAGUAGUAGUGAAUUGAGUGGAUUGGUUUUUCUGACAAAAAGAUACGAUGUUAAAUAGCCUCACCUGGGUUUUUUUCACCUUCCCACUAUUAAAGAUCAUCACAAUAGAUGAUUAUCAACAUAUAUUGGACAAACAUGGAAUAUCUCUUCCCUAUCAACAGAUGAUCGUAGAUAGAGAUAAACAACUUCAUAGUUAAGGAAUGUAACAUAAUGUAACAAGAUGGAAGGAACCAAAGGUCUUCCACAGAAUGUAACUAUCUAUAAACAUAAGGGAAUGAGAGAAAAAAAUAGUAAUCAGUUUUACCACCAUAUAUCAUCACUAUCAUUCAUAUCUUGGUGCGGACUUAGGUACGAGGACAUAUCCUUGAAGAUAAUGGGAAUGAGAAACUCGAACGAUAAUUAGAUUAACAAAAAAGAAGACAUUUUUUUCACUAUUUUAGAGAAUAUCUAUGAAAAUGUCCAUUAAAAUUUCAAAAUAAAUGUGGAAAAAUGAAAUGACAAUAAAUAAAUAAAAGUUACCUUUUUAAUUUUAAUGUUUCCAUAAAAUAUCAACAAAUGAUGGUUGAACAAAAUUUGAUCUGUACAUGACAGAAGGAAGUUUAUCAAGAAAAAAUUAAAAAAGAAACACUGAAACACCAAAUCCUAAAUGAAUAAAAUAGGAAAAUCUCCAUCAAAUCUCUUUCUUUAAGUAAAUAUAUAUCUAUUUCUUGAAUAUAUAAAUUGAUAUUAUUAUAACUAUUUAGAUCUCUUCUCUCCUGAAAAUCCAGAGGUAAUUCCAGAUCUACGUCUAACCCCAACUCCCAAACUCUAACAUUUGAAAAAGGCAUCGAUUAGAAAAAUAAUUAAAAGAGGGGAAGAUCAGUGUCGGUGGAAAAUGCAGCAGCGGUAAUAAAAUUAAAUACAGAGACACGAUAUGGGAAAGACGAAUAUCGGUAAUAAAAUUAAGAACAGAUCUGAUUUAACCUUUGAAUUUAUGGCAUCGGUGGUGUAUCGACGAAUUUGAGAUCUGCAACACCCUCCUCCUCUGGUUGAGUUGUGCAUUUUCCUGAGUGAACUUGUGAAGAGUGAAAAGUGGGUUUUAUCAUAUAUUAGGGUUUUGAGACGUACAGGUUGGAUGAUAAUAAUAAACUUUUGGUGUUGGGACGGACGGGUUUUAUUAUAAGAUAAAUCCACUGGGCUUGGGCUUGGGCGUUCGUGAGUUUGGAAAUUUGAACUAUUG
rnacentral:lncRNA from 1 species